UCUUUUUUUUUUUCUGUGAUUCUAUAAUGAUUAACUGAUCAGAUGUUAAUAAAAUACAGUUCACUUUCAGAGCAGUAAUUCGUUAAUUUUGAGAAUAAUUUUGUGAGGCAAUCACAUGAUUUGCUUCGAUGAUUCAACACGUCACAUCCACUACACGUCUGUGUAGUGGAUUUGAUAUUUGUACUAUACGUAUUAUUUUUCAAGCAGAGGUAUUUAACGAGAACACGUUGGGGGUGUGUUUUGCCGUGUUUUGUGUAAAUCUCUUGUGUUUUGCGUAAAUAAAUGUUUUCUUUGGAUAUUUACAAGAGUCUUAUUUCCUGAACCCAGGAUAAUUCCAGAAUUUGUGUCUAGAUGUGACCCGGAUAGAUUAAAGAGAUCCCUAUAGCUGACCACAUCUAGUUCUAGAUAAGUCUUCAAAGAACUUCACCAUACAAAUUGGAGCUCGCAAGCAGACUGUUAGUAUAGACAGAUUAAAGCCGGCAUUUCAGCUCUCUGAGAUAAAAAUUAACCACGUGAGAUUUUCCGUGUGCCUGUCUUCCAAACUGCGUUGGGGACACCUGUGGCGUUGCUGCUGUGUCUAUCAUUACUUCUGGUGAAGCGAACUGAAGUGGUCCCGAUUUUACAUAUAAAUAUAAAUGCUGCGAACGUGGAUUUGAUAUUUGUUCUUUACGUAUUCUCUUUCAAGCAGAUGUAUUUAAUGCGAAUACGCUGGGCAUGUGGACAUGUGGAAUCUGUUUUUUGUAUAAAUAAAUGUUUUCUUUUGAUA